rnacentral:rRNA from 1 species
GAUGAACGCUGGCGGCGUGCCUAAUACAUGCAAGUCGAGCGAACAGACGAGGAGCUUGCUCCUCUGACGUUAGCGGCGGACGGGUGAGUAACACGUGGAUAACCUACCUAUAAGACUGGGAUAACUUCGGGAAACCGGAGCUAAUACCGGAUAAUAUAUUGAACCGCAUGGUUCAAUAGUGAAAGACGGUUUUGCUGUCACUUAUAGAUGGAUCCGCGCCGCAUUAGCUAGUUGGUAAGGUAACGGCUUACCAAGGCGACGAUGCGUAGCCGACCUGAGAGGGUGAUCGGCCACACUGGAACUGAGACACGGUCCAGACUCCUACGGGAGGCAGCAGUAGGGAAUCUUCCGCAAUGGGCGAAAGCCUGACGGAGCAACGCCGCGUGAGUGAUGAAGGUCUUCGGAUCGUAAAACUCUGUUAUUAGGGAAGAACAAAUGUGUAAGUAACUAUGCACGUCUUGACGGCACCUAAUCAGAAAGCCACGGCCAACUACGUG